rnacentral:rRNA from 1 species
AGGGAAUCUUCCGCAAUGGACGAAAGUCUGACGGAGCAACGCCGCGUGAGUGAUGAAGGUUUUCGGAUCGUAAAGCUCUGUUGCCAGGGAAGAACGUCUUCUGGAGUAACUGCCAGGAGAGUGACGGUACCUGAGAAGAAAGCCCCGGCUAACUACGUGCCAGCAGCCGCGGUAAUACGUAGGGGGCAAGCGUUGUCCGGAAUUAUUGGGCGUAAAGCGCGCGCAGGCGGCUGUUUAAGUCUGGUGUUUAAUCCUGGGGCUCAACCCCGGGUCGCACUGGAAACUGGACAGCUUGAGUGCAGAAGAGGAGAGUGGAAUUCCACGUGUAGCGGUGAAAUGCGUAGAGAUGUGGAGGAACACCAGUGGCGAGGGCGACUUUCUGGUCUGUAACUGACGCUGAGGCGCGAAAGCGUGGGGAGCAAAC